rnacentral:rRNA from 1 species
UACGUAGGGGGCGAGCGUUGUCCGGAUUUAUUGGGCGUAAAGAGCUCGUAGGCGGUUGGGUAAGUCGGGUGUGAAAACUCAGGGCUCAACUCUGAGACGCCACUCGAUACUGCCCUGACUCGAGUCCGGUAGGGGAGCGUGGAAUUCCCGGUGUAGCGGUGAAAUGCGCAGAUAUCGGGAGGAACAUCAGUGGCGAAGGCGGUCUGCUGGGCCGUUGCUGACGCUGAGGCGCGACAGCGUGGGGAGCAAACAGG